rnacentral:rRNA from 1 species
UACGAGGGGGGCGAGCGUUGUUCGGAAUUAUUGGGCGUAAAGGGCGCGUAGGCGGUCGGAUAAGUCUUGUGUGAAAUCUUCGGGCUCAACUCGAAGUCUGCACAGGAAACUAUCUGGCUUGAGUGUGGGAGAGGUGAGUGGAAUUCCUGGUGUAGCGGUGAAAUGCGCAGAUAUCGGGAAGAACACCCGUGGCGAAGGCGGCACUCUGGGACGGUACUGACGCUGAGACGCGAAAGCGUGGGGAGCGAACAGG